CUACGGGGGGCUGCAGUUAGGAAUAUUCUACAAUGCGCGCAAGCGUGAUAGAUUGAGCCAGAGUGCGUUUCAAAUGAAACGCUUUUGCCAAAUGUAAAAAGUUUGGAGAAUAAGGACUGGGUAAGACUAGUGCCAGCCGCCGCGGUAAUACUAGCGGUCCAAGUCGCAGCCAUUUUUAUUGGGUCUAAAACAUCCGUAGCUUGCUUAAUAAGUUUCUUGUGAAAUCUCGUGUCUCAAGCACUGGGCGUGCAAGGAGUACUAUUAAGCUAGAGACUGGAAGACGGAAGGAGUACGUUCGAAGUAGCGGUAAAAUGUGUUAAUCUCGAGCGGACUAACAACAGCGAAGGCACCUUACGAGGACAGUUCUGACAGUAAGGGAUGAAGGCUAGGGGCGCAAAACGGAUUAGAUACCCUAGUAGUC
rnacentral:rRNA from 1 species